CUGCGACCCCAGGUCAGGCGGGACCACCCGCUGAGUUUAGCAUAUCNAAUUAAANCGGGAG
rnacentral:rRNA from 1 species